AGCAGUAGCCGCGGGAAUACAGAGGGUGGGAGCGUUAAUCGGAUUUACUGGGCGUAAAGCGUGCGUAGGCGGCUAAUUGAGUCGGAUGUGAAAUCCCCGAGCUUAACUUGGGAAUUGCAUUCGAUACUGGUUAGCUAGAGUGUGGGAGUGGAUGGUAGAAUUCCAGGUGUAGCGGUGAAAUGCGUAGAGAUCUGGAGGAAUACCGAUGGCGAAGGCAGCCAUCUGGCCUAACACUGACGCUGAGGUACGAAAGCAUGGGGAGCAAACAGGAUUAGAUACCCCUGUAGUCCCUGUCUCUUAUAC
rnacentral:rRNA from 1 species